GGAGGCUCGCAUAGGCGUGCUUAUCGGUCUUGAAAACCGUGAUGGUGUAACAGCCGUGGGGGUUCGACUCCCUCAGCCUCCG
rnacentral:tRNA from 1 species